GCCUCCGCCCGCAAGGAGGAGCCACGUGGCCCCGCCCCUGAGCCCCCGCCCCCGAGCCCCCGCCCCCGAGGCCGGCCCAGCCACCCCGCCCCGCCGGCCGCUCCUGGGCGCGGGAGCGGGCGGGGCUGAGCUUGUUGCAGGGGCUGGCCCUGGCCGGGUGGUGAGCCAUCCUUUCGCGGUCCGCCGAGGCCUCGGAGCAGCGCGACCCGGGUUCCCGCCUCAGGCCCCAGGAGGCGAGGUGUACAGUCCGGUAAAGGAAUGGAGCGCCCGCCGAGCGGUCGCUGCGGGGGUAGCCUCGCGGAGGUUGUUUGGCCUCUCACGGCCCCCGUAUCCAACGGAAGAGGAGUCCGUUGGAAUAGACGACCCGGAUUUCGGCUGUUGUAGGGCAGUUCCUGGGCUCCCGCGGAGCGAUGAGACGUUGUGAAUUAGAUGUGAGAAGAGGGACGCUUGGUCUGCGACCACCAAGACCCCACAGGAUCGAUGCACCCACCCCUGCUGAUGACCAUGACCAUCUAAAGGGGAACAUCAUUUGAGGGGCCCUACUCAUGGAUCAGAAGCCCCUCUUCACUGUGGGGUGUGCUGGGUUGGCGGGCAGUUGCCGUGGAAUCAGUUUCCUCAGGACCCAUAUCUGACCACCCUCAUAAGGUUGUCAGGGCGAUUCCAACAUUCGGGGUUCCCAGCAGCCCAGAUCCCCCACAUCCAGCUCUUCAGCCUACUCAGAGCUCUCCACGCUCACUCACAUGUCCCUCUCGCAAGUAGCCCGAUCAACUCACCUGGUGUCAUGGGCACUAAGGUGUUAAUGGAUUUUCUCUGGUCACCUUUGCAGCUCCACUGUUUUGAGGUCCCAGGAACUCACAGUAUGCUCUAAAAAGGAGAGGGGCAAGAGCUCUGAGUGAGUACAUCCCGUUGGCCCGUGGGAUUUCUUGCCCUAUGGAAAGGAACAUGGACGGAAGAGAAUCAGGUGCUCAGAGCCCUAGACUGGGGCUCCUCUUGCCCCAGUCUUGAGGCAGUUCUAAAGAGGUAACAUUUGAGCCAAAGACCUAAAUGAAGUAUGGGAGGAAGCCCUGUGGGAGUCUGGGUUAGGAGCACUCCAGGAAGUGGUCCAGAGGUUGGAGUUUUUACUCCCUUCAUGUGUUCAUAUCUGUCUGCCUGAAGUCUUAAGCUGCAUAGAGAAAUUAUGUGUUAGCCAAUUGGAGUGUUAGUACCUUGCUAACUCUCCUCCCCAUGACGCAGCCAAUUCCAGUUGCUGGGUACUCCUCCCCGGGACUCAGUCCCUGUACAGCUUCUGCUCUCCAACUUUUCUCGCUCCUAGCAGCCUCUGGAACCAGAAUGGACGGUCCUCUAGUAACGCUGGAUUCUAUGGGUUGGAAGUACUGCAGCGGCUGGAUCAGGUUCCAGUAAAGUUUUGUACCUUCAAAUGUC
rnacentral:lncRNA from 1 species